CUGAACCAGCCAAGUAGCGUGAAGGAUGACUGCCCUAUGGGUUGUAAACUUCUUUUAUACGGGAAUAAAGUUAGCCACGUGUGGUUUUUUGUAUGUACCGUAUGAAUAAGGAUCGGCUAACUCCGCGCCAGCAGCCGCGGUAAUACGGAGGAUCCGAGCGUUAUCCGGAUUUAUUGGGUUUAAAGGGAGCGUAGGCGGGUUGUUAAGUCAGUUGUGAAAGUUUGCGG
rnacentral:rRNA from 1 species